rnacentral:rRNA from 1 species
UGCGUAGGCGGAUUAAUAAGUCAGUGGUGAAAUCUUUCGGCUCAACCUAGAAACUGCCAUUGAUACUGUUAAUCUUGAGUUCGGUUGAGGUAGGCGGAAUGUGUAAUGUAGCGGUGAAAUGCUUAGAUAUUACACAGAACACCAAUUGCGUAGGCAGCUUACUAGACCGACACUGACGCUGAGGCACGAAAGCGUGUGGAGCGAACAGGAUUAGAUACCCUGGUAGUCC